rnacentral:rRNA from 1 species
CCCUUAGAUGUUCUGGGCCGCACGCGCGCUACACUGAAGGGAUCAGCGUGUUUUCCCUUCCCGAGAGGGACGGGUAACCCGCUGAACCUCCUUCGUGGUAGGGAUCGGGGCUUGCAAUUAUUCCCCGUGAACCAGGAAUUCCCAGUAAGCGCAAGUCAUAAGCUUGCGUUGAUUACGUCCCUGCCCUUUGUACACACCGCCCGUCGCUACUACCGAUUGAACGUUUUAGUGAGGCAUUUGGAUUGGACGUCGUGAGGUUCGCGCCUCUCGGUGGCUGAGAAGACUUCCAAACUUGAGCGUUUAGAGGAAGUAAAAGUCGUAACA